CACGUAGGAGGCGAGCGUUGUCCGGAAUCAUUGGGCGUAAAGAGCGCGCAGGCGGCCCGGCAAGUCGGGUGUGAAAUCCCGGGGCUCAACCCCGGGACUGCAUUCGAUACUGUCGGGCUAGAGGUAGGUAGGGGAGAUCGGAAUUCCUGGUGUAGCGGUGAAAUGCGUAGAUAUCAGGAGGAACACCGGUGGUGUAGACGGCUUUCUGGACCGUAACUGACGCUGAGACACGAAAGCGUGGGUAGCAAACAGG
rnacentral:rRNA from 1 species